UAUCCGUCAAGCUUUC
rnacentral:sRNA from 1 species